AUGAAAAUGCUCACCACUAAGUAUGAUGGUAAAAGCGGCGUGAGAGAACAUAUCAUGACUAUGAAUGAUAUGGCUGCAAAAUUAAAGGGCAUGGACAUGGAGAUUUCCGAGGGCUUUCUGGUUCACUUCAUUAUGACUUCUCUCCCUAUGGAGUAUGGUCCCUUUAAAAUUAAUUAUAACACUCAGAAGGAGAAGUGGACCAUGAGUGAGCUCACAUCUAUGUGCGUUCAAGAAGAAGAGCGGCUUAAGGUUGAAAGGAUAGAUUAUGCUCAUCUUACUUCCAUAACCUCAGGGAAAAGAAAGUCUCGGGGUGAUGGGAAACCUAAUAAGAAGAUGAACUUCUCUAAUACUGAUGCAAGCAAGCCAGCUGGGACCUCUAGCACCAAGGUCAUUCCUAUAGAGCCUAAGGGUCCUAAGUGUCGUUUUUGCAAGGAAGAUGGGCAUGUCAUGAAAGAAUGUGAUGGCUUUAAGGCAUGGCUUGCUAAGAAGGCGAUUCCAUUCCGUGAGGACACUCCAAAGGAUGGAUCAAAGUCUUAG
rnacentral:rRNA from 1 species